CCUACGGGUGGCUGCAGUAGGGAAUAUUGCACAAUGGGGGAAACCCUGAUGCAGCAACGCCGCGUGGAUGAUGAAGGUUUUCGGUUUGUAAACUCCUUUUGUUAGAGAAGAUAAUGACGGUAUCUAACGAAUAAGCACCGGCUAACUACGUGCCAGCAGCCGCGGUAAUACGGAGGGUGCAAGCGUUACUCGGAAUUACUGGGCGUAAAGAGCGCGUAGGCGGGUUAGCAAGUCAGAUGUGAAAUCCUAGGGCUUAACCAUAGAACUGCAUUUGAAACUGUUAUGCUAGAGUGUGGGAGAGGUAGGUGGAAUUCUUGGUGUAGGGGUAAAAUCCGUAGAGAUUAAGAGGAAUACUCAUGGCGAAGGCGACCUGCUAGAACAUAACUGACGCUGAUGCGCGAAAGCGUGGGGAGCAAACAGGAUUAGAUACCCUUGUAGUC
rnacentral:rRNA from 1 species